UUUAAUUAGGUACUGAUCUAAAAUGUUUUUAAAUUAGAAUAGUAAUAAAAGAAGAGUUGUUCGCUAGACAGUUAUCUCAAAAAGGCUAUUGUAUUUGUAAACAACAUUUCUCCACUUAUCAAGGUUCUACAAUGGUAGAAUAUCAAAACUUCAUUUCCUAUUGCAGAACAAAUACAAAGUUCUAUUUUUAUUUUACUGUAUAGAAGUGUGACCAUCGGAUGACCAAGGGUAGAAAAGAUAUUUUAGUCAGUCCAAAAAAAAACUUCUGCUCACUCCCGCACUUUUCUAGAGACACUACGCAUAUCUAGAAACAUCCAUUAUCACCAUCUCUCCUGCAUAAUUUCAAAGUUUCACGGUGUUCUUUCAAUUUUGUUCACCAUCAGUGAACUAUUUUGAUUCCCUUCAUCUUUACAGCAGAUUAGAAUUGCAGGUUUGUUCAUAUCUCAAUUUUUGCUCAAUUCUUUUAUUCUUUUUCAGUCAUUGCCUUUUUGGGGUUCUUUUCAUAUAGGGUGAUCGAGAGUACAUUCAAAGAGACAGAAACAAAAGUCAUAUUUUUGCUUCAAGAAGUUGUAUAACUAUGUCGAAUCGUCCUCUCCUUCGGUACUAUCUGCAAUUGUUCAUCUUCUAGCCUCUGUUGCGUUUAUUACAUUCAUGCUACCACUUUUUGGUAUCAAUUGGCAGAGUGUCGUGGCAGUUACUUUCAUAUUUGGGAUAUUACACUUGGAAGGUGGUCGGAAAUACUCCUUUGCUGCCUGGUAUUUGUUGACGCAGGAGCUUCUUUUGUGGUGCACUGCUACCACUUUUUGGCAUCAAUUGGCAGAGUGUCGUGGUAGUUACUUUCAUAUUUGGGAUAUUACACUUGGAAAGUGGUCGGAAAUAUUCCUUUGCUGCCUGGGCCACAUUUGUUGGAAUUGCAUACAGUUAUGCUACAAUUUUAUCAUCGACUAUUGUUGUGCCAAUGUCUGCCCAUGCUCUAAAUAACCUAUUAGGAGGCAUCAUAUGGCGCUACACAUCAGAUUCGUCAAAAUAGAUUGGUUACAUCCAUUGAUUUGAUCAAAAUAUCAGCAAGUAGAUGUACUGUAUAUACAAAGAAUGUGAUAGCUGUGUGUAUGCAAGAGGACUGAACAAAAUCGAUGAGGAUCAAAUGACACAUAGCGUGUGAUGUUUUUGAUUGGCUGGGUGAUAUUGCUUACAUUGGAGUUCCUCGGACGAGAGAGAGACCAAUUGCUGAUUUGGUUGAUGGUCUUAAGCAGCUUGAUGCAGAGGUUCAUUGUUUCCUUGGUACGAAAUGUCCUCCUAUUCAAAUUGUCAGCAAAGGAGGUCUUCCUGGAGGAAAGGCUUGCACUAAAGCUUCCCCAUAUGAGGGACCUUUCAGGGCUGAUUCUCCAUCAUGGUGUUGGGCUCCUUUUGAACCUGAAGGGAUUCUGAGGUGAAAUUCCAUAUAUCUUUUUUCCUUGAAGUCAUGCCUGCACGCGUGAUAUUACAAUAGGGCUACAGCUCAAUUUCUGCUAUUCUCUCUAUGGUCCUUGGAGUUCAUUUUGGACAUGUCCUUAUUCAUAUGAAGGAUAACUCAUCCAAACUUUUGCAUUGGGUUGGCAUGGGCAUAGCUCUUUUGGUUUUAGGAAUUAUUCUCCACUUCACAGAUGGUGCUGAAUGCAGCUAUUCCUUUAAAUAAGCAACUAUACACCGUCAGCUAUGUCUGUGUAACCUCAGGAGCAGCCGCGUUAGUAUUCCCUGCUUUCUACAUUCUGGUUGACAUUUUGAACUGGAAGUAUCUCUUUCUGCCACUAGAAUGGAUUGGGAUGAAUGCCAUGCUUGUUUAUGUAAUGGCCGCUGCAGGAAUAUUUGCAGCUUUUAUCAAUGACUGGUAUUAUGAAGACCCUCAUAACACGCUGAAUGACGACCAUCUGCAUGGUUAUAAUGACGCAGAGGUUAAGGUAUGGUGUCUCCCUUAUUUUCUCAGAACGACAUUCAGAUUGUGAAAACUGAUGGCAUCUUCGUCAGCUUCCAGUUAAUAGCUUUACUUGUGCGGCACCACAGAAGGAAACUUCCUGAAUAUGGUCAUGUGGUGCUUGAGAAAUAACAGAAGAGGUAUUAUAUUGUGUUUUGACAAAAAGCUAUCAUUAUUUUUUGGUGCUAUAGAAACUGAACAUUUCUGUCUGAUGCCUAUGAUGCCUAAGACAGUUAAAGAGCUGUUACAAAGCUUGCAAGAAA